GGGUCUUUGUCUGGAGGCUUGGGCACUAGAAAGUCUAACAAUGUGAUCUAUGGUGGGGGCUUUGGGCCACGCCGCAUAGGUUCUGACUUCCAGAGGAACAGGAGACUCAAGGUAUUGACCAACCUCUCAAGGGGCUGGAGGCUAAAAGACAGCUAAGAAUGUGAUCGAGCCCAGAAAACGCCAGAUGCCAAAGGCUCAGGUUAUGCCCGGACCAGAUGCUCUUUUUCUGACGAUACUUGUUGAGCCUGAGCCUGUCUGCAACUAGGUGCACACGUGUGUUAUGCAGUGCCAACAUUUUGCUCCAAGGGAUCUAAGAGACCAGCUGAAGCAAUGAGGUAUAAAGAAGCAGUAUUCCCAGCUGACUCCUCCAAGUGUCUUCCUGUGGAACAGAUGACAUGCACAUAC